rfam:Musca domestica strain aabys unplaced genomic scaffold Scaffold19870, whole genome shotgun sequence.
CCAUAGGCUCUUUUUAGAGCCACUCUGAACCCCCUUUCGUCAAUU